AUUGAACGCUGGCGGCAGGCCUAACACAUGCAAGUCGAACGAGUGGCGGACGGGUGAGUAAUGUCUGGGAAACUGCCCGAUGUAGGGGGAUAACUACUGGAAACGGUAGCUAAUACCUCAUACCAUCGGAUGUGCCCAGAUGGGAUUAGCUAGUAGGUGGUGUAACGGUUCACCUGGGCGACGAUGCCUAGCUGGUCUGAGAGGAUGACCGGCCACACUGGAACUGAGGCACGGACCAGACUCCUAGGGGAGGCAGCAGGGGGGAAUAUGGCGCAAUGGGAGAAAGCCUGAUGCAGCCAUGCCGCGUGUAUGAAGAAGGCCUGAGGGUUGUAAAGUACUUUCAGCGAGGAGGCGUUAGGUGCAGAAGAAGCACCGGCUAACUACGUGCCAGCAGCCGCGGUAAUAC
rnacentral:rRNA from 1 species